CUUUAUUGAGGCCUUUGGUUUUUCCAUCAACAGAAAUUUCCCCCACCUUCUUUCCUCCCCGUGCCAUCCCAGAGAUGUCCCAGAGAGCCAUCUCAUAUAAUAAAUGAUAUAUUUUAAAGAAAAAUAAGAAAAAGAGGGAGAAAAUCAACAUUACUGAUCAAUACAUCAAAAAUGUCAGAAAAUAUGUGCCAUGCCCAGCACUCUACAAAAGGAUGAGGCAUUUUGAAGAUGAAGAGACAUGCUGAUACCAUACACCUAGCAAAUGAAGGAUCCAGGACUUAAACUCAAGUUUUCUGACACCAAUUCCACUGCUUUGGGCAUCUUAUUGUGUUCCUGCUUCAUUGCAGCACCAUUACAGCGUCUCCCCAGAUCUUAAAAGCCAUAAACUGACUGCCUCAGGAAGUUGUUCACUCGCCUUGGCACUGCACGAAAGUAUUUCACAAAUAUUAUCUCAUUUGAUCUUCACAACAACCCUGAGAGGGAACAGUGGGGUGACAGGGAGUGUGUUUCUGUAUACCUCCCCUGGGCAUUUUGUAUCCUGUGGCAGGGCUUGGCAACCUAUCUGGAUCGACUCCUUUGAUGGUCACUCUCAGCAAAUGAGCAUCGCAGGUGAGUGGCCAGGGAUCAGGGUUACUCAUCAGAUGCCUGGUGUGGCUCAGGAUGCUACAGUCUCCCCAGGCGGCUAUUGAUUUUGUGGCUCUUGGGGAAGUGGUGGCUUAUUCAUAUUUUCAAGUUCUAUUAUGCCUCCGAAUGAGGCUUCUUCGGCUUCCCGUGGCUUCAUAGCCACAAAAUCAAUUAUGACUUCAAUAGCACUCUUACAGUACAGUAUUUGUGAAAAGAAAAUUGAAAAAUUAUUACCUGAUGGAUGAGAAAUGGUUUUGACAUUUAAAAAAACCCCAGAAAAUGCUCUUCCAUAUCUCUUCUAAAUGAUGGCUGGUGUUGACAUUAGCAUUUAUGUAACUCAUCCCAUCCUGAGAAGGAAAGCGUUCUAAGUCUUAAAAGCAGUCGAGACUAUUACAAUGGGCCAUCAUCGGCCUUCAAAGGAGUUCGCUGGAGCACCUCCUGUGCCAAGCCCCCGCUGUAUGAACCCCAUAAUCAUUAACAUUUGGGGCAGGAACAUUGCAGAGGCAAGCCCCAGGCGGAGUGAAAUCACG
rnacentral:lncRNA from 1 species